rnacentral:lncRNA from 1 species
ACAAAUAAAGUACCUCAAGCCUCCAUCUGAAAAAGAUGGGGAUAGCGCUCCCGCAGUGCGCUCUCUAACUCCCAAGUGGCCUCGCGUUCGUCGUGGUUGCUCCAAAGCACCUUCACGUAGGGAAUUUUCCGGUUUCGCAAUCUCUUCACCUCGCGAGCCAAAAUUCUCAAGGGUUGCUCCUCAAAGCUCAAAUCCUCCCGCAGCUCCAUAGGUGUAGCAUCCAAUACAUGAGCCGGGUCGUGGAUGUACUUCCGAAGGGCCGAUACAUGGAAUACAUUGUGUACUCCCGAUAGGUUCGGCGGUAGGGCAAGCCUAUACGCUACCGGGCCUACACGCUCCAAAACCUCAUACGGUCCAAUAUAUCGGGGGCUCAACUUGCCCCGGAUUUCAAAUCGUCUAAUUCCUCGAGUCGGCGAGACUUUCAAGAAGACGUGAUAUCCAACCUGAAACUCCUCUGCCUACUCUGGGCCAUCAACAAUCGCUCCCGAGCAAUGCGAACCUUGUCCUCUGCUUCCUGGAGCACAUCUGGGCCUAAAGCCAAUCCCUCGCCAACUUCACUCCAAUGAAGCGGCGAUCUACACUUCCGUCCAUAGAGUGCCUCGAACGGUGCCAUCUUGAUGCUUGCUUGAUAACUGUUGUUAUAAGCAAACUCUGCCAUCGGUAGNGAAAAAGCUCAGAACAUGGCCAAUCACUCGAACCUCGCAAUUUGCAAAGGUCCAGUGUAUUACACCCCAACUCUUGUGCGACCACCCAAACGUCCACCAAACCGCGAUUUGAAAAUUUCGGAGUUUAUUCCUCGACUCCACGAUGCUCCGGAUCCGAUCCCUUGAUUUUUAGACAUUUAUUCCGCGUGCUGCGACUAUCUGUACGAAACAAUGUUAUUUCGUUAAUAACUUCGCGUACACUCGACGAAUGGUCAAACCGACUUCGCCAACGCGUUUGGUCCCCAAUUAGAUUUCCAAGGGGUCAAAAUAGAUCAAAACCCCAUAUGAGCAAAACCCCUCUUUGGGAUGCCCUAAUAUGACAUAUGCUCAAUACUCCGGAUUUGAUCUAUAAAACAAGCAAAAGAGAAUUUGUUUAACAUCUAGGAGCUCAACUAGGAGCAUUCGAACCAUUCUUAGGGUGUUUAGAACAAACCCUAGAAAUCCACCAUUAGAGCACCUUGAAGAUCACAUGGUUUUCAUGUGUUUCCAAGCCUCUACAUGGUUCUAAAGCUUGCAAGGAAAUCAAAUCUCUAGAUCUAGGGUUUAAAACUCAAACCCUAACCUUGAUCCUACCAUGAGAGGAGGCAAAAGGCUUACCUCACUAGCUUGCUCCAAGCACGAGGAAGAAGUGGAUGAAGGUGAGCUUCAUCUUCUUGAUCUCCUUCUCCUUCCUUUCUUCUCUUUUCUUUUCUUCUCUUCUCUUUCCUUUCCUUCACUCCCCACGGUUGAGAGAGAGAGGGGGACACGAGAGUGGGAGGGAGAGGGGUGCUGCAGCGGAGGAGGGGGUUGGGGUUAUUUGUUAGUAUGUAACAAUUACAAAUAAACCCCCCAAACAUUGCUAUUUGAAGCAGACCAAUUUUCACUGCCAGACCCAAAGUGUACCGGGACACUUUCCCGUGUCACCGGUAACACGAGUACGCAGAGGCCUACCCGAGAGCUAUCUCUCGGUUUUUCGCGGCAUUUGUACCGGUACAAAACAGGGGUGUACCGGUACACUUCCAAUUUUUUUCUCAAAACCCGAGAGCUCAUUUCUCACCUCGGUCGCUUGCUGUACCGGUACAACCAUGAACCUGUACCGGUACACUUUGCUCCAGAAUUGACUUUUGGCUCAGUUUCGAUUCUAUUUCUCUCGUUUGACCUCCAAUUUUUUUCAAAUCGAUCUGAGACUCUCCAAACAUGUUUUCAGACACGUCUCCAUAACCAUUUCAUCCACGCUUAUGCCGAAUUUAGCUCACGGCCCAACAUAGCCUUUCGGGUUCCGUUUUCGCGCCUACGCGCACCGAAACGCCCGAAAGCUUUCGAACAUCACCGAACUUCACCGGAACCAUCCAAACAGGUUUCCAACCUAACAUACACCGUGACUUCAUAACUUUAGAAGUCUGGUAUGUUACAGAAUAUAUAUAUAUAUGUAUACAUACAUACAUACAUACAUAUAUGUAUACAUACAUACAUACAUCCCCCCCCCCCAACCCCCCCCCCCCCCCCCCCCCCCCCCCCCGGGGGUACAUACAACACUACAUAUAUUAAUAUAUAUAUAUAUAUAUAUAUAUAUAUAUAUAUAUAUAUAUAUAUAUAUAUAUAGAGUAUGAGCUAGAAUAUUCUUAAAGUAUUAUGAGGUUGUGCUUUAAGUUUUAACCAUUGAUGAAACCAAUGUAAGGUUGGGAUGAUAGUGUUAGGUGGUAGGUAGUGGAAUAGUGUUUUGAUUCCAAGGGCUAUUAUAAUCCUAAGAGCUAGAUCUAAGGGAUAGAAUCUAAAAGCACCAAUUGGGUGAUACUUCAUAAAGUAUUCUAGCUCAGAUUUCCAUAUUAUAUAAUAUUGAUGGAUUGUGGUGCUGUGUGUGUGUGUGUGGUGUUGGGUUGAUACUAUAUAUAUGUUAUAUAUAUUAUGUAUAUAUAUAUAUGUAUGUUAUAUAUAUAUGUAUGGUAUAAUAUAUAAUGAUUCAUAUGUAUAUAUAUACUAUAUGUAUACCAAUACAAUAUAGGUAUACAUAUGUUAUAAUAUAUAUACUACAUAAUAUAAUACAUACUAUACAUACAUAUAUAACAUAUAUAUACUAUAUAUUACAUUACUAUAUAUUAUAUACAUACUACUAUAUUAGUAUACAUACGUUAUAUAUGAUAAUAAGAAUAUAUUAAUACAUAUAUAUUAUAUACAUACAUAGAUAUAUAUAUAUACCAUACAUUACAUAUAUAUAUACAUACAUAUAUAAUAUACUAUACAUACAUAUAUUAUAUAUAUAUAGUAUAUAUAUAUAUAUACAUACAUAUAAUAUAUACAUACAUAUAUAUAUUAACAUAACAUGGUAAAUAUAUAUAUGCAUAUAUAUAAUACAAUAUCAACUAUAAAUACAUUAUAUACAGAUAAUAUAUAAGAUAAAUACAUAGUAAUAAUAAUACUAUAUAAUAUAUAUACAUAUCAUAUCAUAUAUAUACACUUAUCACUAUAUAUAUAUAGUUAUUACUAUAUAGUAUCACUUGUAUACAUAGGACGAGAGGAGAUUAGGCCCGUCGAGAGUGAGGAGAGAGAGAGCUAGCGCGGUUACUAUCGUAGCCGGGAGGCCUCCGAGGCUACCAAAGUUAGUUUUCAAAUGAUGCGUUCCAAACGAACGAUCGGCCGUUAGACUUGAUCUACACUAUUUGAAAGUAUUUGGAACUAAAAUUCAUCUAUUUUCGGUAUCCAUUUACCUAUCACUACGAGUAGUCUAAAAAAUGAAAACAACUGAAAAUAAAAAUCUCAAAAAAAUGAUGAUAGAAGAUUUGAAUUUAGGACAGACGGUGUUGAUCAUACUCUAAUAGGUACAAAAAAUUUCUAUAAAAAUUUCAUCUAAUUUGGAUUGUUACACCGUUAAACUUUACAAAAUGCAUCACAUCCCUACCAUUAACAUUAUCAAUUUGAACCUUUUGAUCACUAACAAUUUUGAUGUCAAAAAUUAUAAAAUUUAGUUUCCAAAUAUGUUUAAUAGUGUAGAUCAAUUCUAACGGAGCCGGAUCGGUCGAUCUUGGAAAGGUUGCAUUAUUGAAAACCAAUUGGUAGCGCUCUCUCUUCUUAUAUAUAUUAUAUUAUAUAGAGAUGAGAGAACGAGGGAGUAGAGACGUCGAGGGAUGGCGAGAGAGAGACGAGAGAAAGAGAGAGAGAGGACGAUGAGAGAAGAUAGGCUGAAUACUAUUGAUAGCAAAAGGUCCUUUUUCCUUAUCAAGUUUCUAACCUUUUAUGAGAAAGUGUAGGGUUAGGAUUGAUAUAUCUCUUAGGGUUGAGUGGUCAAAUAAAUGCCUUUACUACCAAUAGUAUUCUAGCCCAACUCUCUCUCUCUCUCUCUCUCCUCUCUCUCUCUUACUGUAUAUAAUAUUUAAUAUUAAAUAUACAUAUAUAUAAGCUAGGCCGGUAUAUUAUCGGUAGCUCCGUGCUACCAAGUUGUUUUCAGCGAUGUAGCUUCCAAAUCGACGAUCGGCCCCGUUAGACUUGAUCUACACUAUUAAAAGUAUUUAGAAACUAAAUUUCUUAAUUUUUCGACAUCAUUUGGCUGGUGAUCAAAAGGUCUCAAAAUUGAUAAUUUUAAUAGUAGAUGUGAUGCGUUUGUCAAUUUAACGGUGUAAAAUAAUCCAAAUCUGAUGACAUUUUAUAGAAUUUUUUUUUAACUAUUUAGAGUAAGAUCAGUGCCUCUGAUCUUAAAUUCAAGUCUUUUAUCAUCAUUUUUUAAUGAGAUUUUUAUUUUUAUCCGUUCAUUUUUGGACUACUCGUUUGAUAGGUAAAUGAUACCGAAAAAUUAUGAAAUUUAGUUCCAAAUACUUUCAAUAGUGUAGAUCAAGUCUAACAGAGCUAAUCGUCAAUUUGAAAGCCGCAUCAUUGAAAACAACUUGGUAGCACGGAGGCUUCCGUGCUACCAAUAGUAUACCAGCCUAACUAUAUAUAUAUAUAGAGUCCGGCUACUAUCCUAUUAAUAGGAUUGGGACCAUUGUCCUAUCAAGUCGUUUUCAAUAAUCGACACUCCAAAUUGAUAAUCGACACCGUUGAAAUUGAUCUACACUAUAAGAAAUAUUUAAAAACCGAAUUUGUAAUUUUUGAAAAUCAUUAUCAAGUCUAUCGAAGAGUCGAAAAAAUGAAUGGUCAUAAAUGAAUAACCUUCUUAAAAUAGAGGUUAGACUUUCUUAAAUCAUGAUCAGAGUUAUUAAAUAUUAUUUAAAUAGUAUAAAAAAUUUUCUAUCAGAAAUUCAAGCAAUUUGGAUUGCUCUACACCGUUAAACAAGCAGACGGCUCAUAUAGGCCGUCAAAAAUUAUCGAUUUUACGAUCCUUUGAUCACCAUGUAAACGAUUUUUAAAAUUUCUGAAAUUUAGUUUCUAGAUAUUUCAAUUACUCUAGAUCAACUUUAAUGGUUCCGAUCAUAUAUUCGGCAUCUCUAUCAUCGAGAAAGACUUGAUAGGACGAUGGUCUCUAUCCUAUUAAUAGGAUAGUAGCUAGAUUCUAUAUAUAUAUUGUCACGCCCCGCAACCGCCAGUUUCGUCGGUUUGGGCUCGUCAAACAGACGCCGAACGGAUAGAGCCUCCCCUGUCCACCCAAUGCUAGACAACAAGAUCAUGUACAUACAGUUUGCCCAGAAAAAACUUAAACAAAAUACAUGAUCUAAGCAAGUAGACAUACAAGCGAGUAGUCAUACAAGAGCAUACAAGAGAGCAAAGAGAAAGAGUUCUAAUCAUUACAAUUUCAUCUCCCAAAAUGUNGACGCAUGCAAGGAAAUAGAAUGCAACUAUACCAAUCAUCCUAUAAUGCAUAAGAACAAUAUGUGAAAUAUGAUCAAUAAUCUAACUCGGACAUAGAAGGAAGCCCAGUUGCUUCGGGAUGACACCCCCCACUUCUAGGUGAUGCCGCGAUACUAGGAUUCCGGUUUUGUGAUUUUUGGACGCCGCCUCGGCCUUCCAGGUGGAAACGAAGCCAAAACAGUCAUUUUUGCCAAUAUCUUCACGUAGCCUCGUCGGAUUGCCAAACCGAGGCCACUAACAAGUCAGAAAAUCUAACAAUUUGGUUUGUAUAGGGUUAAUUUAGAUCAAACCCUAAUAUUUGCAAAACCCCCCUUUUUGAACCCUAAUACUCAAUCUUGCAAAAAAUCAUCAUACAACCUUGUGAUUCAAACAAUAUUCAUCUAUUUAGCAUCCUAGGGUUCCAUUAAAAUCAUUUCUAGAGUAUAUAAACCUAACCCUAGAAAUUCACCAUGAGAGCACUAUGAGCAAACAUGGGGUUCAUGAGAUUUCUUGGUCUCUACGAGGUUUCCUUUCAUGUAAGAAGGUCAAAAUCAAAGAUUUAGGGCAUAAAACCAAGCCCUAACCUAAUUCUUACAAGAAACCUCACCUUAGCCUAUAAACUCAACAAGCUCCACCUUGUAGGAGAGCUCUAAAUCCUCCAAAAGCUCCAAAAUCUCCUCUAGAUCUCCUCCAAUCUCUUCCUUUCACCUUGGGGAAGAGCUCCUAGAGAGAGAGAGAGAGAAAUGAGAGAGAAGAGGGUAUUUCUAGCUGUGAGAGAGAAAGGAAGGGUGUGGGACCUUAUAUAGGCUGUUACAAUUGCAACCAAGCCCUCCAUUUUCUCGUAUUUGCAGCAGACUCAACCUGCUGUUUCGGGCACUGCGUACCGGUACGCUUGUUGGCGUCACCGAUACGCCCCUAUUCAUCUGCCCAAACCCGAGAGCUGAUUGUUCUCGGGUGGCUACGGGGUACAGGUACUCUUGAAUUAGUCACCGGUUAACCAGCUCGACAGAGGCAAACCCGAGAGCUGUUUCUCUCGGGUGCCAGCCUGGUACUGGUACUUUUCCAAGCUUCACCGGUUAACAAUGCUCCAGACUGCAGCUUUGCAUUAUUUCUCUCCGAUCAAUGCUAAAGCCCUUUAAUCUCUCUUUAAACUCAACUUUAACCCUUCCAACAUGGUUGGAAUGUUAAAUGGACCAUGUCCAAACAUUCUUCUCGCCACUCUUUAGUCAUUUUGACCAAAAGUGGUUUAAUACAACGAGGAUCCACUUUCUUACAUAUAUAUAUAUAUAUAUAGUAGGUCUUGUGUGCUAUUAGAAGUACGGAGGCCUCCGUGCUUCUAAGCCGUUUCCGAUAAUGGGGCUUACAAAUCGACGAUCGGGUUUGUUAGACUUGAUCUAGUGCAUUUGAAGUGUCUAGAAAAUAAAAUUUGUGAUUUUUCGAUAUCAUUUACCUAACGAUCGAAAGGGUUCAAAUCAACAGUUGAAAAUAAAAAUCUCACAAAAAGUGGUAAUAUAACACUAAAAUUUUCGAUCAAAGAUAUUGAUCUUGCAGUAAAUAGUAUAAAAAUUUUUCUAUCAAAAUUUUAUGUAAUUUGAAUGCUUCUACAUCAUUAAACUUGCAAACGAUAUACAUUAACCAUUACAAAUUGUUGAUUUUGAACCCUUUUGAUCGUUAGGUAAAUGAUAUCAAAAAAUCGCAAAAUUUAUUUUCUAAAUACUUCAAAUACGCUAAAUCAAUUCUAACAGAGCCGAUUGUCGAUUCGGAAGCUCCAUUGUCGAAAAUGACUUAGGAGAGCAGAGGCCUCCAUGCUCCUAAUAGCAUACAAGACCUACUCUCUCUCUCUCUCUCUCUCUCUCUCUCUCUCUCUCUCUCUAUAUAUAUAUAUAUAUAUAUAUAUAUAUAUAUAAUGGGCUAGAAUGCUAUUGAAGGAUUUGUGUCUAUUGCUAUCGAGUUUUAACUUUGGAUAGAAAGUUGUAGAGUUAGAAUGAUAGUGUAUCCAGCCCCCCUCCUGGGUUAGUGUGGCCUUCUAGGCUCAAUGUGAGUGGGUGUGUUGAUGAGUAUAUGAUGUAAAGGGUGGAAUUGAUUUAAGUAUAUAUCAAUGGCGAAAAAUUGAUGUAAGAGUCGAAAUACAUUUUAUAGUAUUUACUUCUCUCUCUCUUCUAUAUAAUAUUAGGAAUUAGGUUUAUCUAUUAUAGUAUCAAGUAUUUAGUACACUAGGUUUUUGGCCCUUGUACCAAGUAUUUAGUAUUCUAGGAUUUUUGGCGCUUUGAUGAAAGAUGGUAAGUAGAUAAUGUAAUCUCUGGAUGUGAUGGCUGGUUGGUUGAAGUAGACGAUCAUAUGGUGAAUGGUCAAGAAGGUAGAUCUAAUAGGCUGAAACUCGAUAACACAAACGCUUGUACUAUCGAUAGUUAGUAGCCGAAUCUAUAUAUAUAUAUAUAUAUAUAUAUAUAUAUAUAUAUAUAUAUAUAUAUACAUAUAUAUAUAUUAUAUUAAUUAAUAUAUAUAUAUAUAUUGAGUUCGGGUAUAUACUCUUAAUGGUGACGUAUCGCCUUCGUAUAUAAGUGUUUCGAUGAUAGAGCUUCCGAAUUGACGAUCCAUACGUUAAACUUAUUACGCUUUAAAUUUCUAAAAUCAACAUUCUAUAAUUUUUACGAUAUUUCAUUUACUUCGAUCAAAAGAGUACAAAUUGAAAUUUUUUAGGGGGGGGGUAUGAGCAAUAUGCUAUGUGUACGAGUGAAAGAACCAGUAGGUUGAUUUUUAAUUAAAUUCUUCACUACUAAAUAAAGAUUAUAACUCGCAAUUAUUUAAAUUUGAGGAUCGAUAUCCAUUUUUAGGAUGUCGUUCAAUUUUAACUGUUCAUUUAAUACUCCGCUGAUGAACUUAUAUAUGAAUUUCGAAACAUUAUGAAUUUGUUUCAAAUACUCUUAGAUAUGUUUUAACGGUGGGAUUGUCGAUUCGAAAACGCCCAACAUUUGCAAACAUUAUGAAUACGAGGCUCUAUUUAUCAUAGAGUUAGUAACCCUAUAUAUAUAUAUAAUAUAUAUUAUAUUUAUUAUACUAAUAUAUAUUAUAUAUACUAUAUCUAUAUAGUAUAGUAUAUAAUAGAACUUGUCACGGCCCGAGCCGAUUCCUUCUUUGCGUAGUUCUAUGAGGUUGAAACAGACGCGACGGACAGAGCGCUCCCCUGUGCACAAGGUCAACAACAGGUUAUGGAGAUGUAGCUAUAGAUAAUUGCACAAGCGGAAGAACAUAAUGGCGUGCCACGAGGGCAAGCAUAGCUAAGAGUGAAAGUAGCAACUACACUUAGGAAUCGAUUAAGUUUUCAUCAUUUCUUUUGUUCUAAUACAGGGAUGCAGAUUCAUUUUGCUUUAAAUGUAGAAGAUCUUUCGACAACAUACAUGUUCUUAAUAUAAUUUAACAAGUAAAUAUCAAGUAAAAGAUGAAUAUAAAAAAGGGUUGCACUAAAAUAGAUAAAUGUCUCGCGGGUCUAGAUCCUAGACGCGAUGCCAUUACCGCCGAUCGUAUCUGCGGCUCGCUGGUUCCGGUCUCUUGGCAAUAGGGUGAUGUGUGAGAACCAUACACACAGUUCUAGUGGUUCGGCAAACAAACGCCCGACUAUCCACUAGGUUCUAAUCAGGAAAUAAUAGAAUAAUAGCGGAAGUAAGUAAACCAAACUAGCAAAUGCAACUAAUAUCUAGACAGUAUAAAAUAAAUAUGCACGAUUAUAAGCUCAUGAUUGAAUGGCAAGUCAUAGUGUCAAUAUCAAUUCUUGGCUAACGUAGUCACCCUCAACAACUCACCAAUCAAAAUCCCAAAUUCGGGGAGGUACGCCGUAAACCGAUGGGACGGUCUCUGGUGGAGAUACCGCUAAAAAGUGAUGUCGAUCCGGGCACAGUCGCCGGAGGGAAGCUACCACAACCUCGAGCAAGGACUAAAGUGAGUACGAUCAAUCCUACAUUUGAGGAUUCCAAGUUCAAUCCAUUCCUUAACUUUAAGGAAGACCAUGCUCAAUGACCCUUAACACUAAGGUUGAAUGUCAUAAUAUCUCAAUCGUUCUUGUUCUUGCAUUCUUUGCUAUCACUAAUAUCAUAUACACUAUCAAGUUCUUGUACUCAUGCCACGCUUGUUGUCUAAGUACUAUAUCCUCGUUUUCAUGUCAAAUGCCACACUUGUUUACUAAGGAUUCUAGACUCGUCGAUGUCACUUGCUAGACCUAUGUCAAAGUGUUACUUUUCGUUUACUAACCCUUCUAGGUUCUUGUCACAAUCAUGCAUACCUAGGGAUCAUCAUUCUCACAUUCUUAUAAACAUUUAACAUGCAUUUGGAUUUACAUUAAGCUAUAACAAAGCUCACAAUUAACCCUAUUAUGCAAGAUACUUGUCACGCACCGGGGUCCCUUUUCAGUUUAAAACAAAGCGGAAAAGCGUCUGAAUUUUUUUUUUUUUGAAAACCUGACCCCAGAGUAUGCCAGAUCCGCCACAAAUACAGGGAAUCCACUGUUCACACGGACAGAGUCUCCCCUGUAUUUGCACGGCGUCGCACAAGUACAAGAAGUCAUCCAGGCACAACCACAACAAAUGAGCAUACAAAUAACCAACCGCUAUAUAUAUUCAUACACCAUUCACCACAGAUUCACUUUUAUGCAUAAAUCCACACCUAUCAGUUAAAACGUUUCCAACCAUAGAAACAGGUUUUGAAAUACUAAGAUGCAAAAUCCACAGAAAGCUUUUGAAAACUAUUUCCUACACGGAAACCUUUAUUCUUUAAAACGCUACCACGAGGGGUAGAAAACCUUUUAUUACAUUCAUGAAAAUCCACAUAUUCAAAUGUAAUAAAAUAAUACUGAACCAUAUAACUAUCUAAGCUAUAACAACUGAAAUAAUAAGGGUAAUAACUAUACCGAAAUAAC